rnacentral:rRNA from 1 species
AGAGUUUGAUCCUGGCUCAGAUUUGAACGCUGGCGGCAUGCCUUACACAUGCAAGUCGAACGGCAGCACGGGGGCAACCCUGGUGGCGAGUGGCGAACGGGUGAGUAAUACAUCGGAACGUGUCCUGUAGUGGGGGAUAGCCCGGCGAAAGCCGGAUUAAUACCGCAUACGCUCUACGGAGGAAAGGGGGGGAUCUUAAGGACCUCUCGCUACAGGGGCGGCCGAUGGCAGAUUAGCUAGUUGGUGGGGUAAAGGCCUACCAAGGCGACGAUCCGUAGCUGGUUCUGAAAAGACAACAGCCACACUGGGACUGAGACACGGCCCAGACUCCUACGGGAGGCAGCAGUGGGGAAUUUUGGACAAUGGGCGCAAGCCUGAUCCAGCAAUGCCGCGUGUGUGAAGAAGGCCUUCGGGUUGUAAAGCACUUUUGUCCGGAA